rnacentral:rRNA from 1 species
UAUGAACCGUUAUAACCGGCGAUUUCCGAAUGGGGAAACCCAGUGUGAUUCGUCACACUAUCAUUAACUGAAUCCAUAGGUUAAUGAGGCGAACCGGGGGAACUGAAACAUCUAAGUACCCCGAGGAAAAGAAAUCAACCGAGAUUCCCCCAGUAGCGGCGAGCGAACGGGGAGGAGCCCAGAGCCUGAAUCAGCAUGUGUGUUAGUGGAAGCGUCUGGAAAGGCGCGCGAUACAGGGUGACAGCCCCGUACACAAAAGCGCAUGUGCUGUGAGCUCGAUGAGUAGGGCGGGACACGUGGUAUCCUGUCUGAAUAUGGGGGGACCAUCCUCCAAGGCUAAAUACUCCUGACUGACCGAUAGUGAACCAGUACCGUGAGGGAAAGGCGAAAAGAACCCCGGCGAGGGGAGUGAAAAAGAACCUGAAACCGU